UACGUAGGGUGCGAGCGUUAAUCGGAAUUAUUGGGCGUAAAGAGCUCGUAGGCGGUCUGUUGCGUCGGCUGUGAAAACCCGGGGCUCAACUCCGGGCCUGCAGCCGAUACGGGCAGACUAGAGUUCGGCAGGGGAGACUGGAAUUCCUGGUGUAGCGGUGAAAUGCGCAGAUAUCAGGAGGAACACCGGUGGCGAAGGCGGGUCUCUGGGCCGAUACUGACGCUGAGGAGCGAAAGCGCGGGGAGCGAACAGG
rnacentral:rRNA from 1 species